rnacentral:rRNA from 1 species
CCUACGGGCGGCUGCAGUGAGGAAUAUUGGUCAAUGGACGGAAGUCUGAACCAGCCAUGCCGCGUGCAGGAUGACUGCCCUAUGAGUUGUAAACUUCUUUUAUAUAAGGGUAAACCUGAAUACGCGUAUUCUCCUGUAUGUACUGUACGAAUAAGGAUCGGCUAACUCCGUGCCAGCAGCCGCGGUAAUACGGAGGAUCCGAGCGUUAUCCGGAUUUAUUGGGUUUAAAGGGUGCGUAGGUGGAUUGAUAAGUCAGUGGUGAAAUGUGGCGGCUUAACAGUGAAAUUGCCGUUGAUACUGGUGGUCGUGAGAAUAGAAGCGGUAGGCGGAAUGUGUGGUGUAGCGGUGAAAUGCUUAGAGAUCAUACAGAACUCCGAUUGCGAAGGCAGCUCACUGAUCUAUAACUGACGCUGAGGCACGAAAGCGUGGGUAUCAAACAGGAUUAGAUACCCGAGUAGUC